ensembl:lncRNA
GAUAAAAGUCGUGCGUCCCAUGGCAAACAGUCAAGAGCAACGUCUCUGGACCCAGCAACUGUCCCUAUGAUGCAGUGUCAGUGCCCACACCACAGGGAGUGUCUAAUCAUGACGCUUAGAUUCAGUCGAGCAAGCGCAGUACACGUGCGAUGAGUUUCUCAUGUUGUGGACAGCAUGAGAAACCCACUGUUUCCACUCAGAAACCCAUCAUCCUAGUGCCCAUUCAGCACUUCAACAGUUACUGUCAUUGUAUAACCCUCAACAGACCCAUAGUUUAAAAUCACUUGGCCUCGCGAACAUAAAGCACAUGAACUGAGAGUCCAUGGCCUUAGUCUCUGGUCUCUCCUGAUGGCCAGUAGUUACGGUAAAAUGUUACCAGUGGAAUAUUCUAGCUUCAGUUACUACCAAACUGCCAGACUCCUCAGAGACAUGCUUAACUUGGAGGUAAAUAAGUUUUUUCCAUUUACCUCGGAUUUUCAUAUAAAUGUGUUUAUUAUUAUUAUUAUUAUGCUUUUUAGGGCUGCACCAUGGCAUACAGAAGUUCUCAGGCUAGGGGCUGAAUCAGAGCUGCAGCUGCCAGCCUGUGCCACAGCCAAAAACAGCAAUGACAGAUCUGAGCCGCGGCAACCCCAGCUCAUGGCAACGCCAGAUCCCCAACCCGCUAGGCGAGGCCAGGGAUCAAACUCGCAUCCUUGAAGUUACCACUCGGUUCGUUUCUGCUACACCACAACAGGACAUCCCAAACGUGCUUAUUUCAAAGUUACAAUUAAAAACAAAUCUUGGUAAAUCAAGAAGAGACCACUAAAAUGCUAUGAGAAGGACUACAAUCCGCAACACCGGCAACACCAAAUGCUGCCAAGGUGGUGCAGCCACGGGACCCUCACUCACGGCUGGAAGGAAGGCAACAUGGCUCAGCCAUUUCCAGAGACAGUGAGGUACUUCCGAAGACAGAGUUGAACAUAUUCUCGGCGUAGCAUCCAGCCACUGUGCCCUUGAGUGUUGACACAAAUGAGGUGAAAACCUACGUCUACACAAAACCCAGCAGAAAUGGGUUUACGGCAGUCGCAUACUUAACUGUCGAAACUUGGAAGCAACCAAAAUACCCUUCAGCAGGUGAAUGGAUACAUACCCUGUGGUCCAUCCAGACCUCGGGAUACUAUCUGGUGCUAAAACGAAGUAGGUUGGGAAGCCGUGAAAAGACAGGGAGGAAAUCUACAUCCGUAUCUCUAAGUAAAAGAAGCCAAUGCGCAAAGGCUCCUAACUGUAGCUGUGAUUCCAGCCAUACGACAUUCUGGAAAAGGCGAGCCUGUGCAGACAGUGAAAAAAAUCAGUGGGGGCCAGAGGUGAGCGGUGAGGGAGGGGUGCAGAGGGGAGCACAGAGGAAUCUUAGGGCCGUGAGUCCACUCGCUGCAGCACCACGGGGGGGACACCUGUCCAAAUGCACAGCAUGUACAACACCGACAGUCAACCCCAAUGACUGUAACAAGGGCACCCCCCUGGCAGGGGGCGUCCACAGUGAGGGAGGCGCUGCUCGGGGGCAGGGGCAGGGAGCAGAUGGGAAAUCUCUGUACCCUCCACUCAAUCUUUUUGGGACUUAAAAUUGCUCCAAAAAAACAAAGUCUAGUUUUUAAAAACAAACAAAUAAAGAUCUUGGAAAGGAACAAAUUCCGAAUGACACUGAAAGAAAACCUGCUAACCGUGCAAAAGGCGGGCCUUCUGUGUGGAUGUGCACAGUUACAGGGGCACCCAGCCCCCUUCCCGGAGCACAAGUACCUUCACGGUCCCCAGCCCCACGGCUCCAGCCCGAGCAGGGGCUGCCAGCUGCUUCAGGCCAAGGAGAAGGGUACACAGGGAAUGCUCCCAGCCUCAGCCUCUGACACCCGCCCCCCAUGCCAGUUCCCCACAGAACCAUUCCUGACCGAGUCUCCUUCCAGAGGGUGUUACCGAUGACAUCAUCACUGUGCACGUACGUAUCGACGUGUCCGUGGCCGUGCCCUCGACAUCAGUUUCCGCGCCGAGGACUGAACCUGAACCACAGCAGUAACAAUGCCAGAUCCUUAACCACAAGGCCACCAGGGAACUCCAGGAAUUUGAUAAUUAGAAAUGUUUACUGAUUUUGACUCUUUUGACAUAAUCAUUUGAAAUUAUAAAAGUAAUCCAUGGUUACCAAAAAAUCAAAAGAAGAAAAAUCAACGAGAGACCGAUCCAAGGUAAAACACAGCUCUCUGUCCAUUACAUCCUGCCCAACCCCACCCCGAGACGUCAGGCCUGGUGAAAACGCCUUCCUAGAUCUUUUCCUGUGUGCACACAGAGGCAUGUUCUGAAAAUGAUUCUUAAUUAAAAACAAUGCAGAUCCAUGAAACAUCUCUACUUUGCAGGACGUCAUGUCCGAGGGCCCUGACCCCCCUGGGUCCAGCCACGGAAUGAGACACCUGCUCCACCUGAUGGCGGAGACUGGGGUGGGGGCAGAGCAGCGGAAGAGGAAAUGAGAAGCCUCUCUAAGGACAGGCCCACAGCCCUCAGAGCCGGCUGUCACCCUGCGGUGGACAUGAGCCUCUCAUUCCACUGACAGGCCUUCCUCCGGCUAUAGGAUCUGGUCGGUAAUUACAGGAAAGGCCUCGCCAUCAAGAUGGGGGAGGAGCUAAUUGACCAAAAGUUCAAUGUGCUGACUCAGGGACCGAUGGCCAAGCCUUCGAUUUCUUUUCCUCAAAAAGCCACUGACGUACAGUCCAUUAGGCCGCGGCCAUGCGGGCCCAGGAGACAGGGAGCUUCCGGUCAAAGCACCUGUGUGAGGCUUCACCAAACAUGCUCGGCCUCUGCAUCAGAAGGGGCCUCGCAGCGCUGCCGACCAGGGCAUUUUCAGGAGGCACCAAGCGAUGGGUCGCUGGUUCUAUGUCCUUUUGCGUGCUUGAUGCUUUGUGUCUGGUUCAGGUUUAUUUACUGACCCAUCCCAAGUGCACGAGCCGACAUCCCUUUGAGGUCCAGCCCUCCUCUAAGGCUCUGCGUCCCAAGUCUGUUAUCUUCUGCUCGUCAUAGUCCAGAACCCCUGCCCUGCUCAGGAAGGACAUGUCUCGGGCACUCCGUCCAAAUGGGGGGAAACGUUGGGACGGUCCCGCAUCAAAUGCGGUGGGAAGAACACAGACUACGGAGG